UACGUAGGGUGCAAGCGUUAAUCGGAAUUACUGGGCGUAAAGCGUGCGCAGGCGGUGAUGUAAGACAGUUGUGAAAUCCCCGGGCUUAACCUGGGAACUGCGUUUCUAACUGGCAGGCUUGAGUGUGGCAGAGGGGGGUGGAAUUCCACGUGUAGCAGUGAAAUGCGUAGAUAUGUGGAGGAACACCGAUGGCGAAGGCAGCCCCCUGGGCCGAUACUGACGCUCAUGCACGAAAGCGUGGGGAGCAAACAGG
rnacentral:rRNA from 1 species